ACAACUUGUGACGGCGUAAAUAGGGGGGGCUGGGUUUUCUCCCUUGUUUUCCUUCCUGCUCUUCCCCAAGGAAGCCAUUUUUGGCCGCUAGGAAGAGAGAGCUUGGGGGCUGGCCGUCGAAUUCCUUCUAGUUUUGAACCAACCAUCUCUUCCGCGCGUCUCCAUUUUGGCCGCUCGAAAGGAGGUUGGACCUUCCUUCCUUGCCCAAUGGCGUCGCGUGCCUCCAUUUUUGAGCAGGGGAAGAUCUCCUAUAUAUCCACCGAACUUCCGUCUCGUCUUUUUCCCCUUUUCCUUCGUGUUUUGCCGUCGCGCUCUCGCCCCCGCACCCUCAUUGGACAUCUCUCUCUCUCUCUCUCUCUCCUCGACGUUGUCAAGCCACCCCCUUUUCUCCUCUCCUCUCUUCUCUCCCUCCCUCUUUCUUUCCUUCAUGUGAAUGCCUCCGCUGUCUUGCUCCUUAUCUCUCAUUCUCUCUCUCUUGCACGGUCUCUCUUUCUCCUUAUUUCUCUCUCUCCCACUCUAUAUGUCUCUCUCCUUGCUCUCUCUCGAGUCUCUUGCACCCGGAUGAUCUGCAUAGGGCCGACCCCCAUGUUCUCACUCUUUUAACCUCCUAUGUCCCUCUUUCUUUCUGUCUCCGCCUCUCUAUCUUCCUCUUUUUGUCUCUCUAAACUGGUUUACUUAGUUUUUUUUGUAGAUUUAGGAAAGCGCAGAGCACUUGAAGAAGGCUUGUCGGUUCCGGGGACUGAUCCCACCACCAUCAAGAGUUCAAGAAACAGAUGGAUAUGAUAAGCUUUAACAAAAUGUGGGGGAAUCCCAUAAUUGAGAAAAGCCAACACAGUGCUUUGUUUUGUGGCUUGCCAUGUUCAUGUAGAUGAACCAUGGCCCAGAUACAUGUAAUGAGCGAAAUAUAUAUGGGUUGGAUGGAUAGAGGAGAAAGGUCCACAAAAUGCUGAGUUUGGUCUGUCUUGAGAGAAAUAUAGCUCAGGCUUGGCCCAAUCCUUCCCACCAUUAUAUAAGAAUCAAGGCAAAAGUGCAACAAACUUAAGAACAAUUCCCAGCAGCAACUCUGAUGAGACUGAAGAGGGGGUCUUUUUUGUUGUUGUAAACUAUAAAUACUCAAAAUUUCUGUGCAAAGACUAUCACUUUUCAGAACUUCAGAGCUACUCAUAUAUACUGCAAACUAUGUGAUCCUAGGUAGCUCUGCUGAAGUGUUCAGUUUCAGUCCACAGAGCAACAAAUGCAGGCAAUCAAUUAAUUCUGGUACACUUUAGUACUUAGAGA